GAUGAACGCUGGCGGCGUGCCUAAUACAUGCAAGUCGAGCGAACAGACGAGGAGCUUGCUCCUCUGACGUUAGCGGCGGACGGGUGAGUAACACGUGGAUAACCUACCUAUAAGACUGGGAUAACUUCGGGAAACCGGAGCUAAUACCGGAUAAUAUAUUGAACCGCAUGGUUCAAUAGUGAAAGACGGUUUUGCUGUCACUUAUAGAUGGAUCCGCGCCGCAUUAGCUAGUUGGUAAGGUAACGGCUUACCAAGGCAACGAUGCGUAGCCGACCUGAGAGGGGGGUCGGCCCCCCUUGAAAUGGGCACACGGCCCAGCUCCCGCGGGGGGGCGGCGGUGGGGAUUUUCCCGAAAGGGGGGAAACCCGAAGGGAGCACCGCCGGGGGGGGAAUGAAGGGUUUCGGAGGGAAAAACGUUUUUAUGGGGGAAAAAAAAAUGGUAAAAAAAUGAUGCACGUUUGGACGGAACCAAAAAAAAAACCCAGGCUAAACUCGGG
rnacentral:rRNA from 1 species